UACAGAGGUCUCAAGCGUUGUUCGGAUUCAUUGGGCGUAAAGGGUGCGUAGGCGGCGCGGUAAGUCGGGUGUGAAAUCUCGGAGCUUAACUCCGAAACUGCAUUCGAUACUGCCGUGCUUGAGGACUGGAGAGGAGACUGGAAUUUACGGUGUAGCGGUGAAAUGCGCAGAUAUCAGGAGGAACACCAGCGGCGAAGGCGGCGCUCUGGGCCGGUACUGACGCUGAGGAGCGAAAGCGUGGGUAGCAAACAGG
rnacentral:rRNA from 1 species